GCCAGCAUAGUGUAGUGGUUUGGGUUUUGGACUGUGACUCUGGAGACCAGGGUUUGAUUCCCUGCUUUGCCA
rnacentral:tRNA from 1 species